rnacentral:rRNA from 1 species
UGCCAGCAGCCGCGGUAAUACAGAGGGUGCAAGCAUUAAUCGGAGUGACUGGGCGUAAAGGGCGUGUAGGUGGACAGAUAAGUUAUGUGUGAAAUAUCCGGGCUUAACCUGGAGGGGUCAUGUGAUACUGUCUGUCUAGAGUAGAGUAGAGGGAAGUAGAAUUUCCGGUGUAGCGGUGAAAUGCGUAGAGAUCGGAAGGAAUACCAGUGGCGAAGGCGGCUUCCUGGACUCAUACUGACACUGAGGCGCGAAAGCGUGGGUAGCGAACAGGAUUAGAUA